rnacentral:rRNA from 1 species
CAGUCGCCGCGGUAACACGGAGGAUCCAAGCGUUAUCCGGAAUCAUUGGGUUUAAAGGGUCCGUAGGCGGUCUUGUAAGUCAGUGGUGAAAGCCCAUCGCUCAACGGUGGAACGGCCAUUGAUACUGCAGGACUUGAAUUAUUGGGAAGUAACUAGAAUAUGUAGUGUAGCGGUGAAAUGCUUAGAGAUUACAUGGAAUACCAAUUGCGAAGGCAGGUUACUACCAAUUGAUUGACGCUGAUGGACGAAAGCGUGGGUAGCGAACAGGAUUAGAUACCCCUGUAGUCCCUGUCUCUUAUAA